AUAACAGAAGCAGCCGGGCACCUGUCACUUGAACAUUCUGCUAAAGCAUACAUCUUGCAAGGAUGAGGAAAACAUAUUUGCGGGAACAUCCACAUCACUCGCAUCCAACUGCUUAGGCUCGCUAAUCGUAA
rnacentral:lncRNA from 1 species